GACGAACCGUGCGAACGUUGUUCGGAAUCACUGGGCUUAAAGGGCGCGUAGGCGGGUUGCCAAGUCCGGGGUGAAAGCCCCCAGCUCAACUGGGGAAGGGCCUUGGAUACUGGUGAUCUCGAGGGAAGUAGGGGCAUGCGGAACUUCCGGUGGAGCGGUGAAAUGCGUAGAUAUCGGAAGGAACGCCGGUGGCGAAAGCGGCGUGCUGGACCUCUUCUGACGCUGAGGCGCGAAAGCCAGGGGAGCAAACGGG
rnacentral:rRNA from 1 species